GUUUUGUUCCGAACCCAAACUUCUCCAUAAAAAUUCCCCAAUUUGAAAUUUUUUCUCGGUUUUUCUCCCACAUUCCCCUCAAUAUUCCCACCCCUUUCCAUGGAUCUUCCAGCAUUCCGGGCGCACCUGAGGCUGCAGAGCAGCUCCUGGAAUUUGGGCUUGGAGGAACCUUGGAGACCCUUUGGAGACCCUUUGGAGACCCCUUGGAGACCCUUUGGAGGCCCUUUGGAGACCCUUUGGAGACCCUGUCCUGGGAACCAAAGCCCUUCCAACCCCAUCCCCUUCCAAAGGUUCCUCCACCACCAAACUUUUCCCAUGAAAACUCCCAAUUCCGAGCUUUUUCCCAUCUUUUUCCCCUCAACAUUCCCACCCCUUUCCAUGGUUCCUCCACCAUUCCAGGUCCACCUGAGGCUGCAGAGCAGCUCCUGGAAUUUGGGCUUGGAGGAACCUUGGAGGAACCUUGGAGACCCUGUCCUGGGAACCAAAGCCCUUCCAACCCCAUCCCCUUCCAAAGGCUCCUCCAAAGGUUCCUCCAAAGGUUCCUCCAACACCAAACAUUUCCCAUGAAAAUUCCCAAUUCCGAGCUUUUUCCCAUCUUUUUCCCCUCAACAUUCCCACCCCUUUCCAUGGAUCCUCCACCAUUCCAGGCCCACCUGAGGCUGCAGACGAGCUCCUGGAAUUUGAGCUUGGAGGAACCUUGGAGACCCUUUGGAGACCCCUUGGAGGAACCUUGGAGACCCUUUGGAGACCCUGUCCUGGCAACCAAAGCCCUUCCAACUCCAUCGUCUUCCAAAGGCUCCUCCAACACCAAACAUUUCCCAUGAAAACUCCCAAUUCCAAGGUUUUUCCCCCCAACAUUCCCACCCCCUUCCAUGGUUCCUCCACCAUUCCAGGCCCACCUGAGGCUGCAGAGCAGCUCCUGGAAUUUGGGCUUGGAGGAACCUUGGAGGAACCUUGGAGACCCUUUGGAGACCCUNCUUGGAGGAACCUUGGAGACCCUUUGGAGACCCUGUCCUGGGAACCAAAGCCAAAGGCUCCUCCAACACCAAAUUUUUCCCGUGAAAACUCCAAGGUUUUUCCCAUCUUUUUCCCCUCAACAUUCCCACCCCUUUCCAUGGUUCCUCCACCAUUCCGGGCGCACCUGAGGCUGCAGAGCAGCUCCUGGAAUUUGGGCUUGGAGGAACCUUGGAGGAACCUUGGAGACCCUGUCCUGGGAACCAAAGCCCUUCCAAUCCCAUCCCCUUCCAAAGGGUCUCCAAAGGUUCCUCCAAAGGUUCCUCCAAAGGCUCCUCCAACACCAAACAUUUCCCGUGAAAACUCCCAAUUCCGAGCUUUUUCCCAUCUUUUCCCCCUCAACAUUCCCACCCCUUUCCAUGGUUCCUCCACCAUUCCAGGCCCACCUGAGGCUGCAGAGCAGCUCCUGGAAUUUGGGCUUGGAGGAACCUUGGAGACCCUUUGGAGACCCUGUCCUGGAACCAAAGCCCUUCCAACCCCAUCCCCUUCCAAAGGGUCUCCAAAGGUUCCUCCAACACCAAACAUUUCCCACGAAAACUCCCAAUUCCGAGCUUUUUCCCAUCUUUUUC
rnacentral:lncRNA from 1 species